UGAGGCAGGAUAAUGGCUUGAACUCAGGAGGCAGAGGUUGCAGUGAGACAAGAUUAUGCCAUUGCACUCCAGCCUGGGCGACAGAGUGAGACUCCAUCUCAAAAAUAAUAAUAAUAAUAAUAUCUUUUCUUCAGUACUAAUUAUGUGAAGGGACUGAACUAAUUGUUUACUUUCAUUAUUCAUUUAAUCCAUAAUAACCCAGCAAGGUAGUUGUUUUACUCAUUUUAUAGCUGUGGGAACAGACCAAGAACGUUAAUUACUCAGGCAGGGUCACUCAGCUAGUAAGGGGCAGAAGCAGAUUCAAACCCACAUCUAUCUGGCAUCAAAGCCUAUGCUCUUCAACUGUGAAUAUAGCUAAAUUUCAAAGGUAAAGUAGAAAAGAAUUCAUCUUUGAUUUCCAAUUCAUUGGAAGAAGAAAGCAUCACCAAAGACAGGAGCAUUCUCUGUAAGAAUGAUAAAGUGGUGAAGUUCUAAAGGAGCAGUCCCAAACUCUUCUCAUCAAGACUGCCUAAAUGCCCUACCCCCUAGCCCCUU
rnacentral:lncRNA from 10 species